UCACGCACAGGGCAAACCAAACUGAAAAGUUGGGACGCAAAGCCACCGGCCUAAACAUUGUAAUGAUGUACGGCAGCGGGGUUACCGAU
rnacentral:ncRNA from 1 species